rnacentral:rRNA from 1 species
GAUGAACGCUGGCGGCGUGCUUAACACAUGCAAGUCGAACGGAGAAAGAAGGGCUUGCUCUUCUGGAUCAGUGGGGAAGGGGUGUGUAACACGUGAGUAUCCCGCCCCAGACUGUGUAAUAUGCGCUCGAAACGGCGGCUAAUACCGGAGACGAGACAGAGCUGCAUGGCUAUCGUCUGGAAAGUUUUUCUGUCUGGGAUGGACUCGCGGCCUAUCAGCUAGUUGGUGAGGUAACGGCUCACCAAGGGAACGAAGGAUAGCCGACCUGAGAGGGCGGACAGCCCCACUGGGCCUGCGGGACGGACCAGACUCGAACGGGAGGCAACGGGGGAGAGUAUUACACAAUGGGCGCGAGCCUGUUACGACGGCGCCGCGUGAGGAAAGACCGCCUACGGGUGAUAAACCUCUUUCAGCGGGGAAGAAGCGAAAGUGACGGUACCUGCAGAAGAAGCACCGGCUAACUACGUG